UACGGAGGGUGCAAGCGUUGUUCGGAGUUAUUGGGCGUAAAGGGCGUGUAGGUGGCUUUCCAAGUCCGGUGUGAAAUCCCACGGCUCAACCGUGGAACUGCAUUGGAAACUGGAUCGCUCGAGGGUUGGAGGGGGUCGCGGAAUUCCCGGUGUAGAGGUGAAAUUCGUAGAUAUCGGGAGGAACACCAGUGGCGAAGGCGGCGACCUGGCCAAUCACUGACACUGAGACGCGAAAGCGUGGGUAGCAAACAGG
rnacentral:rRNA from 1 species